rnacentral:rRNA from 1 species
UGGGGGAUAUUGCACAAUGGGCGAAAGCCUGAUGCAGCGACGCCGCGUGGGGGAUGAAGGCCUUCGGGUUGUAAACUUCUUUUGCUCUGAACAAGGCGCACCAUGGGGUGUGUUGAGUGUAGGGGUUGAUUAGCGCCGGCUAACUACGUGCCAGCAGCCGCGGUAAUACGUAGGGCGCGAGCGUUGUCCGGAAUUAUUGGGCGUAAAGGGCUUGUAGGUGGCUGGUUGCGUCUGUCGUGAAAGCUCAUGGCUUAACUGUGGGUUUGCGGUGGGUACGGGCUGGCUUGAGUGCAGUAGGGGAGGCUGGAAUUCCUGGUGUAGCGGUGGAAUGCGCAGAUAUCAGGAGGAAUACCGGUAGCGAAGGCGGGUCUCUGGGCUGUUACUGACACUGAGGAGCGAAAGCAUGGGGGGCGAACAGG